rnacentral:rRNA from 1 species
CGAAAACUUGACAAUGCGAGAAAUCGUGAUCAGGGAACUCCAAGUGGCUGGGGUAAGACCCAGUCUUUUCUUGACUCUACAAAGGUCUUGGAAUAAGGGGUGGGUAAGGACGGUGCCAGCCGCCGCGGUAAUACCGGCGCCUCAAGUGGUAGUCGCUUUUAUUGGGCCUAAAACGUCCGUAGCCGGUCUGAUACAUUCGUGGGUAAAUCAACUAGCUCAACUAGUUGAAUUCUGCGAGGACGGUCAGACUUGGGACCGGGAGAGGUGUGGGGUACGCUCAGGGUAGGGGUAAAAUCCUGUCAUCCUAAGCGGACCACCUGUUGCGAAGGCGCCACACUAGAACGGAUCCGACGGUCAGGGACGAAGCCUAGGGGCACGAACCGGAUUAGAUACCCGGGUAGUCCUAGGUGUAAACGCUGUGGACUUGAUGUUGGGGGCGCUCCGAGCGCUUCCAGUGUCGAAGCGAAGGUGAUAAGUCCACUGCCUGGGAAGUACGGUCGCAAGGCUGAAACUUAAAGGAAUUGGCGGGGGAGCACCGCAACCUGAGGAUUGUGCGGUUU